rnacentral:rRNA from 1 species
CCCUUAGAUGUUCUGGGCCGCACGCGCGCUAAACUGAUGCAUUCAACGAGUUUCUUCCUGGUCCGAGAGGAAUGGGUAACCUUUUGAAAGUGCAUCGUGAUAGGGAUAGACUAUUGCAAUUAUUGGUCUUCAACGAGGAAUUCCUAGUAGACGUAGUUCAUCAGACUGCAUCGAUUACGUCCCUGCCCUUUGUACACACCGCCCGUCGCUCCUACCGAUUGAAUGCUCAGGUGAGCCAUUCGGACCUUCAUCAUGCCGGUUUCCGGUUUUGAUGAGGGAAAGUCUUGCGAACCUUAUCAUUUAGAGGAAGGAGAAGUCGUAACA